rnacentral:rRNA from 1 species
GUGGGGAAUAUUCCGCAAUGGACGAAAGUCUGACGGAGCAACGCCGCGUGAGUGAUGAAGGUUUUCGGACUGUAAAGCUCUGUUGUUUAGGACGAAAGUGCCUGUUGCAAAUAGUUACAGGUAUUGACGGUACUGAACGAGGAAGCCACGGCUAACUACGUGCCAGCAGCCGCGGUAAUACGUAGGUGGCAAGCGUUGUCCGGAAUUAUUGGGCGUAAAGAGCAUGUAGGCGGGAAUCUAAGUCUGUUGUGAAAAUGCGGGGCUCAACCCCGUAUUGCGAUGGAAACUGGGUUUCUUGAGUGCAGGAGAGGAAAGGGGAAUUCCCAGUGUAGCGGUGAAAUGCGUAGAUAUUGGGAGGAACACCAGUGGCGAAGGCGCCUUUCUGGACUGUGUCUGACGCUGAGAUGCGAAAGCCAGGGUAGCGAACGGGAUUAGAAACACGGGUAGUCC